rnacentral:rRNA from 1 species
UACAGAGGGUGCGAGCGUUAAUCGGAAUUACUGGGCGUAAAGCGUGCGUAGACGGUUUCGUAAGUCGGGUGUGAAAGCCCCGGGCUCAACCUGGGAAUUGCAUUCGAGACUGCGUAGCUAGGGUGCGGAAGAGGGAAGCGGAAUUUCCGGUGUAGCGGUGAAAUGCGUAGAUAUCGGAAGGAACAUCAGUGGCGAAAGCGGCUUCCUGGUCCAGCACCGACGUUCAGGCACGAAAGCGUGGGGAGCAAACAGGG